rnacentral:rRNA from 1 species
GAUGAACGCUGGCGGCGUGCCUAAUACAUGCCAGUCGAGCGAACAGACGAGGAGCUUGCUCCUCUGACGUUAGCGGCGGACGGGUGAGUAACACGUGGAUAACCUACCUAUAAGACUGGGAUAACUUCGGGAAACCGGAGCUAAUACCGGAUAACAUGUUGAACCGCAUGGUUCAACAGUGAAAGACGGUUUUGCUGUCACUUAUAGAUGGAUCCGCGUCGCAUUAGCUAGUUGGUAAGGUAACGGCUUACCAAGGCAACGAUGCGUAGCCGACCUGAGAGGGUGAUCGGCCACACUGGAACUGAGACACGGUCCAGACUCCUACGGGAGGCAGCAGUAGGGAAUCUUCCGCAAUGGGCGAAAGCCUGACGGAGCAACGCCGCGUGAGUGAAGAAGGUCUUCGGAUCGUAAAACUCUGUUAUUAGGGAAGAACAAAUGUGUAAGUAACUAUGCACGUCUUGACGGUACCUAAUCAGAAAGCCACGGUUAACUACGUG